rnacentral:rRNA from 1 species
GACGAACGCUGGCGGCGUGCCUAAUACAUGCAAGUAGAACGCACAGUUUAUACCGUAGCUUGCUACACCAUAGACUGUGAGUUGCGAACGGGUGAGUAACGCGUAGGUAACCUGCCUGGUAGCGGGGGAUAACUAUUGGAAACGAUAGCUAAUACCGCAUAAUAUUAAUUAUUGCAUGAUAAUUAAUUGAAAGGUGCAAUUGCACCACUACCAGAUGGACCUGCGUUGUAUUAGCUAGUAGGUGAGGUAACGGCGCACCUAGGCGACGAUACAUAGACGAACGGAGAGGGUGGGCGGCCACACUGGGAGGGUGACACGGCCCAGACGGCUACGGGAGGCAGCAGUAGGGAAUCGGCGGCAAGGGGCGAAAGUCUGAGCGAGCAAGGCCGCGUGAUUGAAGAAGGGCUUCGGAUCGUAAAGCUCGGUUGUCAGAGAAGAACGGGUGUGAGAGUGGAAAGUUCACAGUGUGACGGUAACGGACCAGAAAGGGGCGGCUAACUACGUG